CCUACGGGAGGCAGCAGUAGGGAAUCUUCCACAAUGGGCGCAAGCCUGAUGGAGCAACACCGCGUGAGUGAAGAAGGGUUUCGGCUCGGAAAGCUCUGUUGUUGGAGAAGAACGUGCGUGUGAGUAACUGUUCACGCAGUGACGGUAUCCAACCAGAAAGUCAAGGCUAACUACGUGACAGCCGCCGCGGUAAUACGUAGGUGGCAAGCGUUAUCCGGAUGUGUUGGGCGUAAAGCGAGCGCAGGCGUGUGGUUAGGUCUGAUGUGAAAGGCUUCAGCUUAACCGAAGAAGUGCAUCGGAAACUGGGGGACUUGAGUGCAGAAGAGGACAGUGGAAUUCCAGGUGUAGCGGUGGAAUGCGUAGAUAUAAGGAAGAACACCAGUGGCGAAGGCGGCUGGCUGGUCUGCAACUGACGCUGAGGCUCGAAAGCAUGGGUAGCGAACAGGAUUAGAUACCCGUGUAGUC
rnacentral:rRNA from 1 species